rnacentral:rRNA from 1 species
AAUUUUAGGUAUGCCCUGCCCAGUGAAUUAUUAAACGGCCGCAGUACUCUGACUGUGCUAAGGUAGCAUAAUAAUUUGUCUAUUAAUUGUAGACUGGAAUAAACGGGUAGUUUAUAGAUAUCUAUCUUUAUAUUAUUUUCAUAAAUUUACUUAUAAGGUGAAAAUGCCUUUAUUUUUAUANUUAGACGAGAAGACCCUUAGAGUUUAACCUAUAUUUUGUUGGGGCGACAAGGAAGUAUAUAUCCUUNCUCAUUAUUAUUUGUAAUAUAUCAUAUAAUUAAAUAAAUAAACUACCUAAGGGAUAACAGCAUAAUUUUUUAGAAAGAUUAUGACCUCGAUGUUGGAUUAAGGACUUAUAUACUAAAAGUUUAAUAANGAUUGUUCUGUUCGAACA